GAGCAGGAACCAGACGCCGGCUGUGAGCGGUGACGCGCGUCCGGGGUCCAGGUGGGCCACAGCCGUGACGUCACAUGUGCGGUAGAAGGGGGGCGGGGGGUGAACCUGUCCACACAGGUUUGGAUGAAAAAAGCAAAGUGGGCUCAUUUGGCAGCUGGGGGUCAAAGGUCAUCCCCGCAAGUUUGGUGCUCACGAGGCGUCGUGACGUCAGCGCUCUCUUGUGACUCGACAGGUGAGGCGCUGCGGCCACUGGAGGGCGUCCGAGUGCUGGACCUGAGCAGGGUUUUGGCGGGUCCGUUUGCCACCAUGAUCCUGGGGGACCUGGGAGCUGAGGUCAUCAAGGUGGAGCGUCCAGGUACAGGUGAUGACACCAGAGCGUGGGGUCCACCGUUCCUGGGCUCAGAGAGCGUCUACUUCCUCAGCGUCAACAGGAACAAGAAGAGCAUCGCCGUGGACCUGAAGAACCCCAGAGGAGCCCGGCUGGUGCAGCAGCUGGCUGCAGAGUGUGACGUGCUGGUGGAGAACUUCCUCCCGGGGAAGCUGUCCCACCUGGGCCUGGGCUUCCAGCAGCUCCUGCACUCCAACCCCUCCCUCAUCUACUGCUCCAUCUCAGGCUACGGUCAGAGCGGCCCGUGGGCCCAGUCGCCGGGUUACGACUCCAUCGCCUCUGCCGUGUCGGGGAUGAUGUUCAUCACUGGACCUGAGGGCGGCGAGCCCGUGCGCCCUGGCGUGGCCAUGACAGACCUGGCCACCGGGCUGUUCGCCCACGGCAGCAUCAUGGCGGCGCUGCUGCAGCGCCACAGGAGCGGCGGCGGCGGCGGCGGCGUCCACAUCGACUGCAACCUGCUGUCGUCUCAGGUUUCCUGUCUGAGCCACAUCGCGGCAAACUUCCUGAACGCCGGGAAGGAGGCGCAGCGCUGGGGCUCGGCCCACGAGAGCAUCGUACCCUACCAGAGCUUCCCCACCAGAGACGGACACCUGGUGGUCGCUGCGGGGAAUGACAAGCAGUUUGUCCGGCUGUGCCAAGUUCUGCAGAUGGAAGAUCUGUCCCGGGACCCCGACUACACCAGCAACCACCUGAGGGUGGCCAAUAGGAAGGAGCUGAUCCGGACCCUGACGCAGAGGUUUGUGCAGCAGACCACAGCCGAGUGGAUCCGCGCUUUCCAAGGCUCCGGAGUUUCUGUCGGACCAAUCAACAGCAUGCAGCAGGUGUUUUCACACCCACAGGUACGUCUGCCUCUCUGUGACCUGUAAUACCUGGGUCCCAGUCUGGUCCAGGUGAGCCGUGUGUUCAGGGGGAGUGGCCGGGGAAAGGGCCAUGGCCAGGAGAGGAGGUCCUCACACUGUCCCCACCAGGAUAGGAAAACCAAGGCGUGUGUGUGGCAGCGCCUCCUCCAUAUGGAUGGAGUCAUGGUCACUGUCACGGCUGUGUGUUUGUGAGUGAGUCACGUCUGUCGCGUCUUCACAUCGCAGCUCGUGUGAGCCUUCUGUGAGGGCGGCGCCACGCGGCCACUCUGUCUCCAGACAGAGCUCCCAGACGUGAACACAAGCCACUCGGACCUGAUCCCCGCUGGAGACCUGCGCUCUGACUCGGGGAACUCUCCGCGGGGGGUGAGCUUCUGGCCUCAGGCGACUGGGCGUUAGACGCUGGAAACAAGGUGUCCAGCGUGACUCCACACCAACAUGAUAGGUGCCGGGCAGUCAAGGGUCUGAUGGCUGUCUGGGCGCACGACAUGCUUCAGAACCAACUUCUCCGACUCCCACAACACUGAGGUGAGCAGCUUCAGCUGCAGGAGACUGGUGCUGGGGAACAGGAGCACAGUGCUCCGGGACUGGAGGUGUGUGCUGGGGUUUGAUAGCUCAGGUGUUUUCUCCUUUAUUAGGCUGAUCAACACCUGAUGUUACUGACAGACAGAGUUGCUUCAGUGGAUCACGCUGCGCUCUACAGUCACUGUUCUCACUGCUGUGAUCUGCAGCUGUCACUGCAUGAGGAGGACAGUGAGGAGGAAAGGUUUUCUGAAGACCACCAGACCAUUCAUGGAUCAUCUCUGACGUCUGGAUCUGGACUGACACCUUCUCCAUCCUCAGUCAUCUCUCUCACUGUGCUCAAGGUGUGGUGAGAGCAGCGUGGACCCAUCCAGACGCGCCGCAUUACGCAGCUAGUUUCUGCUGUUUCCUCGUAAAACCAACAUGACCAGACUCUUUCAUGUUUAGUUUUGGCUGUGAGACGCCACAUUCUGUUCCCGCCGCGGCUCAGCUCCGUCACCCGUUCAGUUCUGAGGUGACCACGACUCAUCAUGUGUGACAGAGAAAUGAGGAGGUCAAGGCCAUGGUGGUAAACAGGUGGUUGUUGAUGACAGACUCGGAGCGACCUGAGACAGAGCCUGUAGUGUGAUCAGCCCCUGGGUCUGACGUGGCUCCAGAUGAUGCUCUGGUCCUGGUCCCAGUCAGGUGACAGGCGCUCGGCUCUUUUCACAGACGGAAUGUGUUCGCAUACUUUCCCAUGGGGAGGGUGCCAUGAUGGGGGCGGGGUCUCCAGAACAACAGCUUCUAUUUUUAGCAGUGGGAUGUGAAAAACAAAACUAGGAUCCCAGCUUGUUUUUCUCCCUUGAUCUGAUGACCUGUGACACACGCGCGGGCUUGUAUCUCUGCCCUUGUGGGGACUCUCGAACCUGGUGCAGCACAACCAGCUGAUCCAGCAGAUGGAGCAUCCCACCGCCGGCGCCAUCCGCGUCCCAGGUCCGGCCGUGCGCUACGGCGGCGCUCCGCCGGCCGAGCCGACGCCCCCUCCUCUGAUUGGCCAACAC